rnacentral:rRNA from 1 species
AGGGAAUCUUCCGCAAUGGACGAAAGUCUGACGGAGCAACGCCGCGUGAGUGAUGAAGGUUUUCGGAUCGUAAAACUCUGUUGUUAGGGAAGAACAAGUACCGUUCGAAUAGGGCGGUACCUUGACGGUACCUAACCAGAAAGCCACGGCUAACUACGUGCCAGCAGCCGCGGUAAUACGUAGGUGGCAAGCGUUGUCCGGAAUUAUUGGGCGUAAAGCGCGCGCAGGCGGUUUCUUAAGUCUGAUGUGAAAGCCCCCGGCUCAACCGUGGAGGGUCAUUGGAAACUGGAAGACUUGAGUGCAGAAGAGGAGAGUGGAAUUCCACGUGUAGCGGUGAAAUGCGUAGAGAUGUGGAGGAACACCAGUGGCGAAGGCGACUCUCUGGUCUGUAACUGACGCUGAGGCGCGAAAGCGUGGGGAGCAAAC